rnacentral:snRNA from 1 species
UAGUGUUACAGGUCUUUAGAAUUUGUCUAGCAGGUUUUCUGGUUCUCACCAGAACCUUC